GUGGGGGAUAUUGCACAAUGGGGGAAACCCUGAUGCAGCAACGCCGCGUGAGGGAAGAAGGUCUUCGGAUUGUAAACCUCUGUCCUAUGGGACGAUAAUGACGGUACCAUAGGAGGAAGCUCCGGCUAACUACGUGCCAGCAGCCGCGGUAAUACGUAGGGAGCGAGCGUUGUCCGGAAUUACUGGGUGUAAAGGGUGCGUAGGCGGCUUUGCAAGUCAGGCGUGAAAUCUAUGGGCUUAACCCAUAAACUGCGCUUGAAACUGUAGGGCUUGAGUGAAGUAGAGGCAGGCGGAAUUCCCGGUGUAGCGGUGAAAUGCGUAGAGAUCGGGAGGAACACCAGUGGCGAAGGCGGCCUGCUGGGCUUUAACUGACGCUGAGGCACGAAAGCGUGGGUAGCAAACAGGA
rnacentral:rRNA from 1 species